CUUUCCAAUCUUUCUCUUCUCCUAGCCCUAAUUUUCUCCACCAUGCUCUUCCUUCAUUCAGCCCUCCUUUCUCAAUCCAACAAUCAUCGACAAUCGUGAUAUCCCGGCAAAGCUUCGGGUACUUGAAUUCGAACCUCCAACAUCAUCUUCACCCAUAGAGUGUCGACAUCUCCAGCUCUCCCAGGCAGCUAUGGCUCUCCUUUAAUUUGGCUCUCCGCUCUCAAUUCCAACAAUCAUCAACGAUCUUGAUAUCAUGGUGAAGCUCCGCCUACUCGAAAUCAAACCUCCAACAUCAUCUUCACCCACUUAGUGUUGAAAAGGACUCGAUGAAAGCUGGAUCAAUUUGCAAAUCCAAAGAGUAAAAAGUCUCUGGUUCCUUACUUCGCCAUGAAGAACCCAGGGCCAAAAAAGCAAAUAGGGAGCCGUUUCGAAGCAAAACACAUCAACUUGCUGAACCAGAGGAUCACCGCAGCUCACAACGAUCAUGGUGAUACUUUACCAUGGCCGUUGUCCACUCCUAUCAUGACCGUUAUUAAGCUGUGUCAGUGUGGAACAAUAGAGAACAACACAAAAAUCAACCUCCACAACGGUCGUUGUGAAUCGUAACAGUCAUGACCAAUCCACACAAUGCUAGGACAGACCGUGCCAGGAUGUGACUUAUGGCCAAGCAACAAAUUUACUCACCACGGCCUCCACAAUGGGCAUGGUGCGGCCAUCGCGGACUUGAUAUUAUAAAUACCCUAGGGUUUUGUGAUCAUGAGGAGGAUUCUUUUGCCGAAUUUAGGAGAGGCGGCCAGAUUUCUGGAGAUCUGUGCAGUUGGAGAUGAUUUACAUCAGUAUUUUAGCGAAUUCCGGUGAUUUUCUCAAGGAAGAUUCAACAUACAUCAAUAGUGGAGAGCGCGUGAAGAGAUUUUGUAUUUUCUUGACGAUCUUGGGAACUUCUCAACCUCAACCGUUGGAGAUCUAUUAGAGGCAGUUCUUUUAGGAAUUCUUUUGCUAUUAUUUUCCUUUGGAUGAUUAUUAUUCAUUGAUCUACACUUGUCUAUCAAUUAGAGGACCCCAAUUCCAGAGGAAUUUCAUGUCAAUUCCCCUUGAUUGUUUCUUGUGAUUCUUUAUUGAUAAUUCCAUAUUUUUUCUAGCCUUUGUGAUUCA